AUACGGAGGGUGCAAGCGUUAUUCGGAAUCACUAGGCGUAAAGGGUGCGUAGGCGGUUUGAUAAGUCUGAUGUGAAAUCCUAUGGCUCAACCAUAGAACUGCAUUGGAAACUGUCAGACUAGAAUACUGAAGGGGCAGAUGGAAUUAGUGGUGUAGGGGUAAAAUCCGUAGAUAUCGCUAUGAAUACCGAAAGCGAAAGCGAUCUGCUGGGAAGUUAUUGACGCUGAGGCACGAAAGCGUGGGGAGCAAACGGGAUUAGAAACCCUAGUAGUCC
rnacentral:rRNA from 1 species